AAUGGAGGGAACUCUGAACCAGCCAUGCCGCGUGCAGGAUGACUGCCCUAUGGGUUGUAAACUGCUUUUGUCAGGGAAUAAACCUUUCUACGUGUAGGAAGCUGAAUGUACCUGAAGAAUAAGGAUCGGCUAACUCCGUGCCAGCAGCCGCGGUAAUACGGAGGAUCCAAGCGUUAUCCGGAUUUAUUGGGUUUAAAGGGUGCGUAGGCGGUCCUAUAAGUCAGUGGUGAAAGACGGCAGCUUAACUGUCGCAGUGCCUUUGAUACUGUAGGACUUGAAUCUAUUUGAAGUGGGCGGAAUAAGACAAGUAGCGGUGAAAUGCAUAGAUAUGUCUUAGAACUCCGAUUGCGAAGGCAGCUCACUAAGUUAGUAUUGACGCUGAUGCACGAAAGCGUGGGGAUCAAACAGGAUUAGAUACCCUGGUAGUCCACGCCCUAAACGAUGAUAACUCGAUGUUUGCGAUACACAGUAAGCGUCCAAGCGAAAGCGUUAAGUUAUCCACCUG
rnacentral:rRNA from 1 species